rnacentral:rRNA from 1 species
AUUGAACGCUGGCGGCAUGCCUUACACAUGCAAGUCGAACGGCAGCGCGUCCUUCGGGAUGGCGGCGAGUGGCGAACGGGUGAGUAGAGCAUCGGAACGUGCCCGGUAGUGCGGGAUAGCUCGGCGAAAGCCGGAUUAAUACCGCAUGAGAUCCGAGGAUGAAAGCAGGGGAUCGCAAGACCUUGCGCUACUGGAGCGGCCGAUGUCAGAUUAGGUAGUUGGUGGGGUAAAGGCUCACCAAGCCUGCGAUCUGUAGCUGGUCUGAGAGGAUGAUCAGCCACAUCGGGACUGAGACACGGCCCGAACUCCUACGGGAGGCAGCAGUGGGGAAUUUUGGACAAUGGGCGCAAGCCUGAUCCAGCCAUGCCGCGUGCAGGAUGAAGGCCCUCGGGUUGUAAACUGCUUUUGUACGGAACGAAAGGCCUCCUUCGAAUAAAGGGGGGAGAUGACGGUACCGUAAGAAUAAGCACCGGCUAACUACGUGCCAGCAGCCGCGGUAAUACGUAGGGUGCGAGCGUUAAUCGGAAUUACUGGGCGUAAAGCGUGCGCAGGCGGUUUUGCAAGACAGUGGUGAAAUCCCCGGGCUCAACCUGGGAACUGCCAUUGUGACUGCAAGGCUGGAGUACGGCAGAGGGGGAUGGAAUUCCGCGUGUAGCAGUGAAAUGCGUAGAUAUGCGGAGGAACACCGAUGGCGAAGGCAGUCCCCUGGGCCUGUACUGACGCUCAUGCACGAAAGCGUGGGGAGCAAACAGGAUUAGAUACCCUGGUAGUCCACGCCCUAAACGAUGUCAACUGGUUGUUGGGGAUUUAUUUCUUCAGUAACGAAGCUAACGCGUGAAGUUGACCGCCUGGGGAGUACGGCCGCAAGGUUAAAACUCAAAGGAAUUGACGGGGACCCGCACAAGCGGUGGAUGAUGUGGUUUAAUUCGAUGCAACGCGAAAAACCUUACCCACCUUUGACAUGUAUGGAAUCCUGAAGAGAUUUGGGAGUGCUCGCAAGAGAGCCAUAACACAGGUGCUGCAUGGCUGUCGUCAGCUCGUGUCGUGAGAUGUUGGGUUAAGUCCCGCAACGAGCGCAACCCUUGCCAUCAGUUGCUACGAAAGGGCACUCUGAUGGGACUGCCGGUGACAAACCGGAGGAGGGUGGGGAUGACGUCAAGUCCUCAUGGCCCUUAUAGGUGGGGCUACACACGUCAUACAAUGGCCGGUACAAAGGGCAGCGAAGCCGCGAGGUGAAGCCAAUCCCAUAAAGCCGGUCGUAGUCCGGAUUGCAGGCUGCAACUCGCCUGCAUGAAGUCGGAAUCGCUAGUAAUCGUGGAUCAGCAUGUCACGGUGAAUACGUUCCCGGGUCUUGUACACACCGC